UGGGGAAUAUUGCACAAUGGGCGCAAGCCUGAUGCAGCCAUGCCGCGUGUAUGAAGAAGGCCUUCGGGUUGUAAAGUACUUUCAGCGGGGAGGAAGGUGUUGUGGUUAAUAACCACAGCAAUUGACGUUACCCGCAGAAGAAGCACCGGCUAACUCCGUGCCAGCAGCCGCGGUAAUACGGAGGGUGCAAGCGCUAAUCGGAAUUACUGGGCGUAAAGCGCACGCAGGCGGUCUGUCAAGUCGGAUGUGAAAUCCCCGGGCUCAACCUGGGAACUGCAUCCGAAACUGGCAGGCUUGAGUCUUGUAGAGGGGGGUAGAAUUCCAGGUGUAGCGGUGAAAUGCGUAGAGAUCUGGAGGAAUACCGGUGGCGAAGGCGGCCCCCUGGACAAAGACUGACGCUCAGGUGCGAAAGCGUGGGGAGCAAACA
rnacentral:rRNA from 1 species